rnacentral:rRNA from 1 species
AGAGUUUGAUCCUGGCUCAGAACGAACGCUGGCGGCGUGCUUAACACAUGCAAGUCGCACGAGAAAAUUCCCUUCGGGGGAUGAGUAAAGUGGCGCACGGGUUAGUAACACGUGGAUAACCUACCUCCGGGAGGGGCACAACCUGUCGAAAGACGGGCUAAUACCCCGUAAGACCACAGUACCUUUGGGUACAGAGGUAAAAGAUGGCCUCUUCUUGAAAGCUAUCGCCUGGGGAUGGGUCUGCGUACCAUUAGCUUGUUAGUGAGGUAACGGCUCACCAAGGCAAAGAUGGUUAGCUGGUCUGAGAGGACGACCAGCAACACUGGAACUGAGACACGGUCCAGACUCCUACGGGAGGCAGCAGUGGGGAAUAUUGGACAAUGGGCGAAAGCCUGAUCCAGCAACGCCGCGUGAGUGAUGAAGGCCCUCGGGUUGUAAAGCUCUGUCAGAUGGAACGAAUAACGGUGACCUAAUACGUCACCAGAUGACGGUACCACCAAAGGAAGCACCGGCUAACUCUGUGCCAGCAGCCGCGGUAAGACAGAGGGUGCAAGCGUUGUUCGGAAUCACUGGGCGUAAAGGGGGUGUAGGCGGCAAAGUAUGUCCGGUGUGAAAUCCCUCGGCUCAACUGAGGAACUGCAUCGGAAACUACUUGGCUAGAGUGCGAGAGAGGGUGGUGGAAUUCCUAGUGUAGAGGUGAAAUUCGUAGAUACUAGGAGGAACACCUGAGGCGAAGGCGGCCACCUGGCUCGCAACCGACGCUGAGACGCGAAAGCGUGGGGAGCGAACAGGAUUAGAUACCCUGGUAGUCCACGCGGUAAACGAUGAUCACUAGGUGUCGAGAGAAUUGACCCUCCCGGUACCGCAGCUAACGCAUUAAGUGAUCCGCCUGGGGAGUACGGCCGCAAGGCUAAAACUCAAAGGAAUUGACGGGGGCCCGCACAAGCGGUGGAGUAUGUGGUUUAAUUCGACGCAACGCGAAGGACCUUACCUGGACUAGAAAUCAACUGGACGUCCUGCAGAAACGUAGGAUUUUCCCGCAGGGGAACCGGUUGACAGGUGCUGCAUGGCUGUCGUCAGCUCGUGUCGUGAGAUGUUGGGUUAAGUCCCGCAACGAGCGCAACCCUUGUCUCUUGUUGCCAUCAUUAAGUUGGGGACUCUAGGGAGACUGCCGGUGUCAAACCGGAGGAAGGUGGGGAUGACGUCAAGUCCUCAUGGCCCUUGAUGUCCAGGGCUACACACGUACUACAAUGGUCGGUACAAAGCGUUGCCAACCCGCGAGGGGGAGCUAAUCGCAAAAAGCCGGCCUCAGUUCGGAUCGAAGGCUGCAAUUCGCCUUCAUGAAGUUGGAAUCGCUAGUAAUCGCGGAUCAGCAAGCCGCGGUGAAUACGUUCCCGGGCCUUGUACACACCGCCCGUCACACCACGAAAGUCAUUUGGACCAGAAGUCAUUGGGUCUACUGAUGCCG